UACGUAGGGUGCAAGCGUUGUUCGGAAUCACUGGGCGUAAAGCGAACGUAGGCGGGGAAGUAAGUUAGGAGUGAAAUGUAUCGGCUCAACCGGUAAUCUGCUUUUAAUACUGCUUUUCUUGAGUAUGGGAGAGGAUGAUGGAAUUCCAGGUGUAGCGGUGGAAUGCGUAGAUAUCUGGAAGAACACCAGUUGCGAAGGCGGUCAUCUGGCCCAAUACUGACGCUGAGGUUCGAAAGUUGGGGGAGCGAACAGGAUUAGAUACCCUGGUAGUCCCAACCGUAAACGAUGGAUACUAGUUGUUGGGGUUGUUAUGAUUUCAGCGACGAAGCUAACGCGUUAAGUAUCCCGCCUGGGGAGUACGCUCGCAAGAGUGAA
rnacentral:rRNA from 1 species